GUGCUCGCUUUGGCAGCACAUAUACAGAGAUUAGUAUGGCCCCUGUGCAAGGAUGACAUGCAAAUUUGUGAAGUGUUCCAUAUUUUU
rnacentral:snRNA from 1 species